GAUGAAGAACGCAGCGAAAUGCGAUACGUAAUGUGAAUUGCAGAAUUCAGUGAAUCAUCGAGUCUUUGAACGCGCAUUGCGGCCCCUGGUAUUCCGGGGGGCAUGCCUGUCCGAGCGUCAUUGCUGCCCUCAAGCACGGCUUGUGUGUUGGGCCCCCGCCCCCCGGUUCCCGGGGGGCGGGCCCGAAAGGCAGCGGCGGCACCGCGUCCGGUCCUCGAGCGUAUGGGGCUUCGUCACCCGCUCCAUAGGCCCGGCCGGCGCCCGCCGGCGACCCCCCCUCAAUCUUUCCAGGUUGACCUCGGAUCAGGUAGGGAUACCCGCUGAACUUAAGCAUAUCAAUAAGCGGAGGA
rnacentral:misc_RNA from 1 species